UUUGAAUCUAUUUUGUUUUAUUCCAUUUUGUUUUAUUUUUACCUUUUUUUUAAUAACUGUUUAGGCGUUUGUACAUUCCGCAAAGUAAUAAAGUAACAAGUAGCCAAAACUUAAAAAUCGAAAUAACAAAUGAAAAAGGUUACAAUGUAACGAAUUACUUUUUUUAUGCAAAAAUAAACUGUCCUAUAACAUACACAGAUAUAGAAAAUGAGCUAAUUCUUACGCAAGUUGAUCAAUUAAAACAAGAAGACAAUGAUAAAACAAAAAUAAAUGCAAAUAAUAAUUUAAACAAUUUUAAUUUGUUAAAUGUUAAUAAUAAUAAUAAUGGUAAAUCCACAGGGUUUACUUAUCAAAAUAAACUCGGACGCUUUUUACUUUUAAUAAUUAUUAUAUAUUAUAUAUACAUAUAUAUAUGUAUUUUUUAAUAUAUAUAUAUAUAUAUAUUGACACAUUUUAUGUUUUAAAAAAAUUCAGCUGUUUUAUGUUAGUCAUGCAAGUUAUUAAAAUUAAUUUUGUUAUGUAUGUUUAUAUUUUUAACGCAAUUCUUCCGCUAGGCCAUUCGUUUCUUCGGUCUUUUUUUUUUUUUUUUUUUUUUUUUUUUUUUUUAUUUUUUUUUUUUUUUGUUCUUUUUACAUUUUUAAAAAUAUUUAUUCGUUUUUUAGUUAUAUUAUUUGUUUAAUGCCUGUUGCCACUGAAUAUGUUAUAAAAUGUGUAAGUGCUUUACUUUUUUUAAAAAAAAUUAAGUUUCUUCUUGGAACGUGUGUUCGUAUAAUUUAAGCACAUGUACUUAUAUGCACAUGUAUGUAUGUAAAGGUGUACAUGUUGUAUAUCUCUUUAUACACUAAUUUGAAUCAUUUUGUUUUUGUAUUAAUAAUGAUAUUUGACUUGUGUACAUAUCAAUUAAUUUAUCAAACCGGUCAACAUUUUUCUGAUAGUCUUUAAUUAAUAUU
rnacentral:lncRNA from 1 species